ACAGCAGUAGCCACGGUAAAACGUAGGGUGCGAGCGUUAACCGGAAUUACUGGGCGUAAAGCGUGCGCAGGCGGUUUCUUAAGUCUGAUGUGAAAGCCCCCGGCUCAACUGGGGAGGGUCAUUGGAAACUGGGAAACUUGAGUGCUGAAGAGGAGAGUGGAAUUCCACGUGUAGCGGUGAAAUGCGUAGAGAUGUGGAGGAACACUAGUGGCGAAGGCGACUCUCCGGUCUGUAACUGACGCUGAGGAGCGAAAGCGUGGGGAGCGAACAGGAUUAGAUACCCCUGUAGUCCCUGUCUCUUAUAC
rnacentral:rRNA from 1 species